GACGAACGCUGGCGGCGUGCUUAACACAUGCAAGUCGAACGGAAAGGCCCUGCUUUUGUGGGGUGCUCGAGUGGCGAACGGUGAGUAACACGUGAGUAACCUGCCCUUGACUUUGGGAUAACUUCAGGAAACUGGGGCUAAUACCGGAUAGGAGCUCCUGCUGCAUGGUGGGGUUGGAAAGUUUCGGCGGUUGGGGAUGGACUCGCGGCUUAUCAGCUUGUUGGUGGGGUAGUGGCUUACCAAGGCUUUGACGGGUAGCCGGCCUGAGAGGGUGACCGGCCACAUUGGGACUGAGAUACGGCCCAGACUCCUACGGGAGGCAGCAGUGGGGAAUAUUGCACAAUGGGCGGAAGCCUGAUGCAGCAACGCCGCGUGCGGGAUGACGGCCUCGGUUGUAACCGACUUCGUCCUCGUGACGAAGCGUGAGUGACGGUAA
rnacentral:rRNA from 1 species